UACGUAGGGACCGAGCGUUGUCCGGAAUCACUGGGCGUAAAGGGUGCGUAGGCGGACCUGCAAGUCGGGGGUGAAAGCCCGAGGCUCAACCUCGGAACUGCCUUCGAUACUGCGGGUCUCGAGUCCGGGAGAGGUGAGUGGAAUUCCUAGUGUAGAGGUGAAAUUCGUAGAUAUUAGGAAGAACACCAGUGGCGAAGGCGGCUCACUGGCCCGGUACUGACGCUGAGGAGCGAAAGCGUGGGGAGCAAACAGG
rnacentral:rRNA from 1 species